UACAGAGGGUGCAAGCGUUGUUCGGAAUCACUGGGCGUAAAGCGCGCGCAGGCGGAUAGAGCAAGUCUGGAGUGAAAUCUUGCCGCUCAACGGCGAGGCUGCUUUGGAUACUGCAUAUCUGGAGAUCGGUAGAGGCUGGUAGAAUUGCUGGUGUAGCGGUGGAAUGCGUAGAUAUCAGCAAGAAUACCCCGUGGCGAAGGCGGCCAGCUGGGCCGAAUCUGACGCUGGAGGCGCGAAAAGCGUGGGGGAGCAAAACAGG
rnacentral:rRNA from 1 species